UGAGGUGGGGCUGGGCUCCCACGCCUCUGGCUGACGUCAGGUCUAGGCGGCCUAUUGAAAACCUGCUGGGGUUCUGAAGCAGGACACAUCCAUGGAAAGGCUAAGAAUAGCACGAAAGGACACCCAGGAAAGUCACAGCCUCGGGUGACCAGGAGAGAACAGGAUGACACAGAUUCGGAUCAGAUACCCCGCUACUGGAGGCUUAAUUGGAACCUAGUCUGAGGAAGUUUUCUAAGUGAUCGAGGGGAGACUUAGCUGGAAAACAGAAAGUGGGCAGGAUUCCUCUUGCCUACCAAGAGCUUUCAAAAAUCCGAUUCAUCAGGCAAGAACACAGAAUUGUUUACUAUGUGGAAUUAUAACUGUAUAGUUACCCUUGUCCUUUUUGUCUUUGCUUAUUUUAACCAAUGCACUACUUUCUAAGAACGGUUUUCCGUUUACAGAAAAACUGAGCAGGAGAUGUAGAACGCUUCCAUAGACUUCUUUCACCUACCCCACCGCUCCCCGUUUUAUUAACCUCUUGCUUUAGUGUGACACCUUGAUGUCAUCGAUGCACCAAUGCUGAUGUACUGCUAUUAACUACAGUCCCGGAUCACAUUUGGCGUGGUGCGUCCUGUGGGUUUUGAUCACGGUGUGACGACGCGUAUCCCCCAUUGCAGCAUUGUGCACCGCAGCUUCACCGACCGCAAAUCCCCUGUGUCUCACCUGCCCAGCCCUCCUCCCCCGGAGCCCUGGAAGCCACUGGUCUUUUACAGUCACGUAGUUUCGCCCUUUUCCAGAGGUUAGGAUCUGCAGCUUUCCAAAUCGGCUUCUUCCACUGAGUGGUACGCAUUUAAGCUUCCUCCACAUCUUUUCUUCAUUUUUAUCACUGAGUAAUGCUCCAUUAUAUCCACGUAGCACAGUUUGUUUAUCCGCUCAUCUGCUGAAGGACAUCUUGGUUACUUCCAACUUUUGGCAAUUACAAUGAAGCCUCUGUGAAGGAUUCUUGGGCAGGUGUUUUAUGAACUGUUUUCAGCUCAUGCACACAAAUGGUGAGGUACAUAAUUGCUCCUCUUUUUUUCAAUACAACUUUUACAUCUGGUGUUCUUAUCUCAAUAAAUUACGAUUUGCCUUACAUGGCUAACUCCUAUGCCUGUACCCCUUUCAAUUUAUUUUCCUUUAAUACCAUUUCCAUUUCUGGUACAAACAAUUCACAUGGAAUGCCAGAUAUGUGCAGACUACUUUUUUUCUGAAAAACAAAAAAAUAUUUCCAACUCUUCCCCAGUAGGCGUAUCAUCGAUGGAGGUGGCCCAUGAACCAGCCUGUGUUCCAUUUCUGCAGGUGAAGUGCUGACACUCAUUUUUACCAAAGCAUAACUGCCUUGUCACUUACACCAGCCUUUCAUUCAGAGCAGUGGCGCUGCCCAAGGAGGAGCAGCCAUGACCACAGAGCUCCCGGGCUCCCUCAGUGUGUAUGAUCUCGGGACAGUUACUCAAUGACUUUUCUGGUGU